UUACGGCCAUAUCACGUUGAAACACCAGUUCCCAUAUGAUCACCGAAGUUAAGCAACGUCGAGCCUGAUCAUUACCUAGAUGGGAAAGCCAGGUGCUGUAA